UUUUUUUUUUUUUCCAGGUUGGGGAGACAAUUAGAAGAAACUAAAAUAUCUGCUUUACUAAUAAAUUCAAGUCAUGUUCUGGGAGAUCCUUGAUCAAAUUUCUCUUUAUAGACUUGCCACUCCCCAUACUAUGUAAUUAAUAAUUUUCUCGUUUAUUAUAGGAAACAAAUGGCACUAUCAAGUUAUGAUAUCAACUAAUGUUUUUAAGUGACACUGAGAACUGUGCACACCCUGAAGACAAAUUAUACAUAUUGCUUAAAAGGAAUGAAAAUUCAUAAUGCUUUUCAAAUUCCCAUGACAAGUCUCUUUUUUUUCGAUUAUGCUUACUUGCUACUUAAUGUGCCUACUUGGAGAAAGCGUCUUCGCUGAACUUGCUUGAAACAUACAGCAAGGUUGAAAGAAUAUGUCCACUAUUGAGAUUCUACCAUUAAUUUUUUAUUAUACUUUGCCAUGUCUAUCCAUUAAUCCAUUUUGUUUUCUACACUUUUUGAAACAAAUUACAGUUAUCAACACACUUCACCCUAAGUACUUCAGCGUGCAAAUUGUUAACUAGAGGUCAAUAUUUAAAGUUUCCUCUUUUGAUGUAAAAUUUAUAUGCAAUAAAAUGCAAAAAUUUUAAGUGUGCAUUAGCUGAGUUUUGACAAGUGCAUUAACCUGCUACCCAAACUCUUAUUAGUAUAUAGAACAUUACCAUCACACGGAAAGGCCCCUCAUAUCCCACCCCCACCCCACCAAACCCAAGGCAAUUUUUCCCACCAUAGACUAAGUUUGCCUAUUCUAGAAUUUUGUAUAAAUGGAGUCAUACAGUGUGUUCUCUUGCGUCUGGCUGCUUUCGCUCAUCACAGUGUUUCUGAUUUUCAUUUAUGUUGUUGCAUGUGUCAGUAAUUUGUUUAUUGCUGAGUAAUAUUUCAUUGUGAGAAUGUAACAGUUUGUAUAUCCUUUCUCCUAUUGAUGAACAUCUGGGCUGUUUCUCAUUUUUGGCUAUUAUGAAUAAAGCUGCUAUGAACAUUCUUACAGAUGUCUUUUUGUGAACAUGUUUUCAUUUCUUUUGAGUAAAUACCUCAGAGUGAAAUUACUGGGUCAUAUGGUAAGUGUAGUAAGAAAUACACUUUUUCUCCAAAGUGGUUGUGCCAUCUCACAUUCUCAUCGGUAAUACAAUGUAUCCCCACAUUCUCUCAUGCUCAGGGUAGGUAAUAGGCAAUAGAAGCGUCAUAAUACCUCACUGCUUUGAAACAGUCACCCCAUUGUGCCCAUAAGCUUAGUUGUAGAUUGUAAGCAAACCCAUAAAAUCAUGGGUGUAGGGGUCCUGAACUGCUCCUGCAUACACUGAAAAAAAGAAUAUUGUACCAGCAGUGGGAUGAAAAAGCAAAAUCUUUGAGACAGACAAUAAAGGGACUAAUAGAAUGACCCUUUGACCAGUCUCUGCCUUUUGGUGUCCCAAAAUUUGCCUGAUUGCUAAUUAUAAAGAAAGUAAGGCUUAGCCCAGAGGAGAGAGUUGUUCUUUGACGAUAUUCUAAACCAAGUUGCUAUCUAUUUCCUUGAGAAUAAUUGUGUAUCUUUUUGCAUCUAUUACAGACUUACCAUGCAAAUCUCAGGUACCUGGUUAUAAUGGGUUUUUAAUCCUAUUCCAUAUUCCUGUCAGUUUACAUUUUCUUUAUUAUGUUAAUGUGGUGAAUUGCAUUGAUUGAUUUUCAAAUAUUAAAUCAACCUUGCAUUCAAGGUUAUAAUGUAUUAUUCUUUUUAUAUAUUAUUGGAUUCAAUUUUGCUACUAUUUUGUUUCUGGGAUUUUUUUUUUUUUUUGAGGAAGAUUAGCCCUGAGCUAACAUCUGCUGCCAAUCCUCCUCUUUUUGCUGAGGAAGACUGACCCUGAGUUAACAUCCGUGCCCAUCUUCCUCUACUUUAUAUGUGGGGCGCCUGCCACAGCAUGGCCUGACAAGUGGUGCCAUGGCCACACCUGGGAUCCAAACCAGCAAACCCAGGGCUGCCAAAGCAGAACGUGCAAACUUAACUGCUGUGCUACUGGGCUCACCCCCUGUUUUAGGGAUUUUUAAACCAUAGAUUUGUAAGAUUUAUGAGAAAAAUUGGUCUAUAAUUUCCCUUCCCUGUAAUACCUUCUUAAGUUGUGGUGUUGAGUCUCUUCUGGUAUCAUAAAGCAAGUUGAGACAUAUUCUCUAUAAGAGCGUGUGUAAGAUUGACGUUAUUUCUUUGUUAAUUUAGAAGUCACUAGUGAAGCCACAUGGCUUGGAGAUUUUGAGGGGGAGAAGGUCUUUAAUUAUGGGUUCAUUUUCUUUAAUAGGGAUAGGGCUAUUUAGAUUUUCUUUUUCUUUUUGUCUUAGUUUUAGUAAGUUUGUCUUUCUCUAAAUUUUUCUUGUUCAUUUAAAUUUUCAAACUUAUGGGCAUAAAGUUGCUGCUAAUCUCUUUUUAUUGUCUUUUUAAUAUCUGCUUUGUGAUUUGUAGUGAUGUCCCCUCUUAUUUUUAUUCAGUUUUGCUUUGCUCUUUAAUCACUUUUAGACAAAAGGUAGCAUUCUAUAUACGUUAUCUGUGAUAUGAUUUAUACAUUUAACAAUGUAUUCUGGACAUCACUCCAUAGCACUAUUCGAGAGAUCUUUCUCUUCUUUUUACUGCUACAUAGGACUUCAUUGUAUGGCUGUUCAUGCAACCAGUCCCUUAUUAAUGGAUAUUUGGUUUGUUUCCAGUCUUUUUGCUGUAACAAAUAGUGCUGAAGGGAAUAACUUUUACAUAUGUAUUUUUAAAAGAUUUUUGCUGGUUAUGACCUCACUUGUGUGUGGAAUCUAAAAAACACCAAACAAACUAAGCUCAUAGAUACAGAGAACAGAUUGGUGGUUGCCAAAGGUGGGGAGUAUGGGGAUGAGAGAAAUAGGUAAAGGGAGUCAAAAGGUACAAACUUCCAGGUUUAAAAUAAAUAAAUCAGGGGCUGGCUCCGUGGCCGAGUGGUUAAGUUCGCGCGCUCUGCUACGGCGGCCCAGGGUUCGGAUCCUGGGCGCGGACAUGGCACUGCUCAUCAGGCCACGUUGAGGUGGCAUCCCACAUCCCACAACUAGAAGGAUGUGCAACUAAGAUAUACAACUGUGUACAGGGAGGGGUUGGGAAGAUAAAAGCAGAAAAAAAAAAAAAAGAUUGGCAACAGUUGUUAGCCCAGGUGCCAAUCUUUGGGAAAAAAAAAAA
rnacentral:lncRNA from 1 species